UCUAAUUAAUCUUUAUAUGUGUUGAAAAAAUAUCCUAGUAAUUUAAACGGGAGAGUCGACGCUACGAUGGCCGGCGCUGACAACACAAAAUUUAAACAGGACCCUGGCGGCGAGUCCGAAGGAGACAAGCUCGAGAGCCUCAUCAGCUCGCUGGGGCAGUUCGAGAGGUACCAGAGGUACGUGAUGGUGCUCUGCUGCAUCGCCACCUACAUGCCUGGG
rnacentral:lncRNA from 1 species